rnacentral:lncRNA from 1 species
AUCAAAUUAACACUAAAAUAACAUCAAAUUAACACUAAAAUAACAUCAAAUUAACACUAAAAUAACAUCAAAUUAACACUAAAAUAACAUCAAAUUAACACUAAAAUAACAUUAAAUUAACAGUAAAAUAACAGCACAUCCUGGAGAAAAGGCACUUUCUGCUGCCCCACAGUCGUAAGGCAAGGAAAGUUUUUCCAGGUGGAAUCCCACUGCCUGCCCCUCUCCAUGGCUCACUCAAUUUUUCCAGAACCAUUUUCUCCUGCCCCUGGCCCGGAGCAGAGCGGGAUGGAGCGCGGCACUCACCAGCUGUGCCAGGCAGAGGCAGCAGCCUUGGAGCAGGAGCCAGAGCGGCGACACGAGGGUGACACGGGCCAUGGCGAGCGGGGCUGGCACCGAGCGGGGCUGGCACCGAGCGGGGCUGGCACCGAGCGCGGCGGGCACCGAGCGCGACUCGCAGCGCUCCGGGACACCGGGGAGAGGAGGAGCAGGAGGAGGAGGAGGAGCAGCAGGAGGAGGAGGAAGGGGCUCAUUAAUAUGGAGCAGAGGGAUCGGGGCAGGUCCCCGCCCCUCUCAGGUGAGCCCGUGGCUGCUGCGGGCUGGGUGGGGACAGAGGGUUUGGCAGCGUGGGGCCGGGAUUUGGCACGUGGGGCCGGAAUUUGGCACGUGGGGCCGGGAUUUGGCACGUGGGAACAGAAUUUGGCGCCAUGGGGACGGGAUUUGGCACGGUGAGGACAGAUUGUGGCAUAAUGGGGACAGAAUUUGGCACGAUGGGUGACAGAAUGUGGCACAAUGAGGACAGGAUUUGGCAUGAUGGGGACGGGAUUUGGCACCAUGGGGAUAGGAUUUGGCACGAUGGGGACAAGAUUUGACACGUGGUGACAGAAUUUGACACGUGAGGACAGAAUUUCACACGGCUGGGACAAGUUUUGGCACGACGGGAACACACUUCGGUAAGGCGGGGACAGAAUUCGGCACGGUGGGGACAGAAUUUGGCAC